AGAUAUUUGGAGCGGUUCUCAAUCUCACCAAUCAUGUUUGCGUUGUACGCAGGAGACAAAACUCCGUUCUGAUUGAUCUUGUUGCCCAUAUGAGACUCUCUCUUCGUGAGGGCACGAUACAACUCUACAACUUCUGGAGCACGACGCACGGACCUUUUUCCAAGUGUUGUUUUUGAUGGAAGUGGUGGAGGCGGCGGCGGCUUUAUUGCUAUAGAUUGUUCUUUGACCAUUGGCUUCAGGCGAGCCACUUCUUGACGCAGCUCGUGAUUUUCUUUCUCCAGCUUAUCGUUCUUCAUUAGAGAAGCUUGAAGCUCCUUCACCAGACGCAUAAGAUCCGAAUCAUCCUCCCCAUUUGGUAACAUAUCUACCUACCCCUGUUUUCCCUAGUAGAUGUGGGAUUGGGUUAGUUUUUCUUUAGGGGAAUUUUUCUCCUUUAUAUCACUUGCUUUUCUGUUACGUCUCAAGGAAGUUAUAUAUAUUCACCUAAUCCUUUGAUGUUCA